AAGAGUAUAAUUUAAGGGUAAAAUAUGGAGCUACCUCCACCUUCUCAGUUCAAAUCUGAGUGCUCUUG
rnacentral:tRNA from 1 species